CAGAAAUCAUCCAGAGUAAUGAUCUCUCUCCUGAUCAGAAGAUCCGCCGGCACCCAUUCCGGUAAGAAAAUCGCGAAAUCCCUAUCGCGAUAUCGCGCGACAGCGAAGUCAUCGACGUACCCUCCGAAACGGCUGGCUAGUGCCGUCUUAAUGCGUGUGAUUGGAUCCCGGCCAAGAUUAGCCGGUCGAAUGACGUCCGCGAGGACGGCAUUUCGGCGCAUCUCGACUCUACGCAGAUAUUCUUCAGUAUACGGCACAAAAACCUUCGAACGCGGCGGUCGCCCCCUCAGAUUGGCUGCUCUCUCCAUGGCUGCUUCGGACGUGUCCAAUUUU
rnacentral:lncRNA from 1 species